rnacentral:rRNA from 1 species
UACCUGCAGCUCUAGUGGUGACCGCUAUUAUUGGGCCUAAAACGUCCGUAGCCGGCUUAUUAAAUGCCUGGGUAAAUCGUACGGCUUAACCGUACGAAUUCCGGGUAGACUGAUAGGCUUGGGACCGGGAGAAGCUAGAGGUACUCCUGGGGUAGAGGUGAAAUUCUGUAAUCCUAGGGGGACCACCAGUGGCGAAGGCGUCUAGCUAGAACGGGUUUGACGGUGAGGGACGAAGCCCUGGGGAGCAAACGGGAUUAGAUACCCCGGUAGUCCAGGGUGUAAACGCUGCUUGCUUGAUGUUAGUCGGGCUCCGAGCCCGAUUAGUGUCGGAGAGAAGUUGUUAAGCAAGCUGCCUGGGAAGUACGGCCGCAAGACUGAAACUUAAAGGAAUUGGCGGGGGAGCACAGCAACGGGAGGAGCGUGCGGUUU